ACUGCUGCUCUGCACACUGACCCCUUCACCAGGAAUCGCUCUGAAAAUAAUUUAAAAAGUCCUUGCAACUAGUGGUGCUCUGCACUCACACUACUUCACCAGGAAUAUUUCCAGAAACAUUUUACCAGAUCUUCUCAAUCCAACUAUUACUGCCCUGAAGCUAUAACAUGUGAAUGACUCGCAAGUGGUUUUUUUAAUAACUGCCUAUAAUUAUGCAUGAUUAACUUAACUCUUAUUAACUCAAUAACAUGACUAACCUCACUAACUUGAUCAGUUAUUAUAAAUACCACUUGUUGAGUUUUACUAUGAAGGUUUUACUGAGAUUGAUUGGAAGACGGGGCUGAAUGAUU